UACAGAGGUCCCAAGCGUUGUUCGGAUUCACUGGGCGUAAAGGGUGCGUAGGCGGUCGGGUAAGUCUGAUGUGAAAUCUCACAGCUUAACUGUGAAACUGCAUUGGAUACUAUUCGGCUUGAGAGUUGGAGGGGGGACUGGAAUUCUCGGUGUAGCAGUGAAAUGCGUAGAUAUCGAGAGGAACACCAGUGGCGAAGGCGGCUCACUGGACCAUAACUGACGCUGAUGCACGAAAAGCUAGGGGGAGCAAACAGG
rnacentral:rRNA from 1 species